UAUUUCUGAUUAAAUCUCUCACUCGAAAAACUGACUGGAUGCACCUUGCGUAAGUUACGUUAAUAAAUGCCCUUCAGAUCGAAAUAAACUAUCUUACCUUGACUUUCAAAGCUUAAAUCCCGUGUUUACUCUCUCUGUCGUGUCGCAUUGAGGUCAGGUAAAUAAUAAUAAAAGACUUCACCUGAACUACACGCCUGCGUGACGUAACGUGAUGACGAUGUGCGAUGAUGCGGACUUGAAAAUAUUUACAUUUAUAAUUUCCUGUAUGAAAGUAGUUUAAUUUAAUUUCAAUGGUUAGCAUACUUGAAAAAAACGGGGAAAAAAAACAUUGUAGCGAUAAGAAAGUUAUAAAGUAUUGUUUUUGUUAACGAGGAAGUAGCAAACAAAUCAUUAUAUAUAUAUAUAUAAACGUUAAUUGUAGAACGUGUUGGAAUACGCACAAAUUCAAAAUAUAAAGAGACUUUUUAAAAUCUGUUUAUUUAAUGUUAUUAACACAUUUCUGAUAAAUAUAUUUUCUUCUAACGUUGAUGGACAAGCGCGAAUCUGCUGAAGAGAGAGAAGUUGCCAUGGUGAUGGUUUACUCUGACAGGACGUAAACAUUAGAUCUCAAGCGCGAGUUGUGUUAUUAAGUAACUGUUUGUACAUGAACAGCGAUCGUGUUUAUUUCUACAUUACUUCGUUUUCUACAUCAGCGAAGGAUAUUAUUUCGGUCUUUCUCAGCUGUGGUGGCGAGGUGAGGCGAAACAGUUCCUCAGAUGAUCCAGACGCCCCGCGGUGGAAAUGCUACGGUCGGACGGACGGUUUGUCUCACCUGUACGUCUGCCUCUCUACCUCCCGCCUGCUUCUCAUGGGAACUUAACGACCAGCCGGUGACCGCCGGCCAAUCAGGGAGUGGCGUGCUGAGUCUGCAGAUCUUCUCCACCAAUCAGAGUGGCCGUUACGCCUGCAUCGCACGGGAUGACGUCACAGGAGGGACAUCGAAGCAGCAGAUAGACCUGGCCAUUGUGGAUUGCAAACAGAGCCUUUGUCAAUGGAAACCAGCCUGAUCCCACAUUACACAACUCACUCCCAAAAAACCUCACCGCCAUUCCCAAUAACAACAAUGGGAACAUCAACACAAUGUCACAAAACAUGCCCAGCAACUCACUCCAUCAUAAUGGCCAUUUGAACACUGAUGUGUUCCAACACAACUUCAGCACAGUCCCAGACAAUGGGCAUCAAAACAAUUCAUAUCCAAACAAUGGCCCUCAGAGAUCGUUCCCACAGUUUGUCCAACACAAUCCCAAUAUCCUCAUAAAACGGGUAGUUCUCCGCCUGGUGCGCUUGCGCCUAUAGUUCAUGUAAACCUCAACACCUUGCCACGUAAUGACCAGUUUAGUAAUUCACAACCUCAAACGGUGCAUGUCAUCUUGAACACAU
ensembl:lncRNA